rnacentral:RNase_P_RNA from 1 species
GGGAUGCAUCACGCGCGCGAGGAAAGUCCCCCCACCAGUUCGGGCAGGUGACCGGACGCAAGUCCGGAGCGGGAGACCGCUGGCUCUGGAACAGAAACGACACGUCUCGGCCCGACCGAUGAUGCGUGCGAACCCGACCGCGAGGAAGGGGAGCUAACCCGCAGAGGAAGGGCGAUUCUCGCACCCUCGGUGCGAGAACUGCCGACAGGCGAGCGGCGGAUGCCGCCCGCCGUGUGCGGUCGUUCGAACGCGGUUCGAACCCGCGAGUCGCGCUCGGCGCGACUGGCCGCACUGCGACGGCCGAGGAUCGAUGGAACGGCGAACCCUCACCGGUGCAAGUCCGUGCCGUGGUAGCCCGAACGCCCCGCGGCCUUCGGGUCGCGGACGGCGCGGACGCUCAGCCGAAUGCCGGGCCGAACAGAAGGGGGCUUACUCCU